CCCGCCCCUCGAAGCCCUGUAGGCGAGGCUGCCGGGUCUCAUUUGCAUCAGUCGAUGGCAGAGAGGAGAGAGGCUACAUCUAUCCUCAGUGUUCUGAUCUGUGAACACCUGAAUGAUUAGUAGCCUAAUGUU